GUGUUUGCUUCAGCAGCACAUAUACUAAAAUUGGAAUGAUACAGAGAAUAUUAGAAUGGCCCCUGCACAAGGAUGUCACACAAAUUCGUCCUGUGACCCUUUCCU